rnacentral:tRNA from 1 species
GCGCUCCGUGGUGAAGAUGUCUGUUACUUCGUCUGUUAAACGAGAGGUCGCGGGUUCGAAUCCCGCCGGGUGUUCCA